AGGAUGAACGCUGGCGGCGUGCCUAACACAUGCAAGUCGAACGUCCUGUCUCGCAAGAGGCAGGGAGUGGCGGACGGGUGAGUACCACGUGGGUCAUCUACCGUGAGGUGAGGAAUACCGGCGAGAAAUCGCCGACAAGACCGCAUAGGCUCGAUGCAAGUCGAGCAAAGCUCUUUCGAGAGAGGGAGCGCCACACGAGGAGCCUGCGCCCGAUUAGCUAGCUGGUGGAGUAACGGUUCACCAGGGCGACGAUCGGUAGCUGGUCUGAGAGGACGAUCAGCCACACUGGGAUUGAGAACGGCCCAGACUCCUACGGGGGGCAGCAGUGAGGAAUUUUCGUCAAUGGGGGCAACCCUGAACGAGCAACGCCGCGUGCAGGAAGAAGGUUUUCGGAUCGUAAACUGCUUUUCUCGGGGAAGAGGAACGGACGGUACCCGAGGAAUCGAGCCCCGGCUAACUACGCGCCAGCAGCCGCGGU
rnacentral:rRNA from 1 species